rnacentral:rRNA from 1 species
AUACGUAGGGAGCGAGCGUUGUCCGGAAUUACUGGGCGUAAAGGGCGCGUAGGCCGUGUUAUAAGUUAGUUGUAAAACGUGUGGGCUUAACCCGCAUUCGCAACUAAAACUGUAACGCUAGAGGCAUAGAGAGGCAGACGGAAUUCCUGGUGUAGCGGUUGAAUGCGUAGAUAUCAGGAAGAACACCGGUGGCGAAGGCGGUCUGCUGGCUAUGAACUGACGCUGAAGCGCGAAAGCCAGGGGAGCAAACGGGAUUAGAUACCCCGGUAGUCCUGGCAGUAAACGAUGUAUGCUGGGUGUGGGCGUAGCGAUACGUCCGUGCCGAAGUUAACGCGAUAAGCAUACCGCCUGGGGAGUACGGUCGCAAGAUUGAAACUUAAAGGAAUUGACGGGG